rnacentral:rRNA from 1 species
GUAUAACUUAGUGGCAGACGGGUGAGUAAUGUAUAGGAAUCUACCUAGUAGUACGGAAUAAUUGUUGGAAACGGCAACUAAUACCGUAUACGCCCUACGGGGGAAAAAUUUAUUGCUAUUAGAUGAGCGUAUAUUAGAUUAGCUAGUUGGUGGAGUAAUAGCCUACCAAGGCAAUGAUCUAUAGCUGAUCUGAGAGGAUGAUCAGCCACACUGGAACUGAGAUACGGUCCAGACUCCUACGGGAGGCAGCAGUGGGGAAUAUUGGACAAUGGGCGAAAGCCUGAUCCAGCCAUGCCGCAUGAGUGAAGAAGGCCUUUGGGUUGUAAAGCUCUUUUAGUGAGGAAGAUAAUGACGGUACUCACAGAAGAAGUCCUGGCUAACUCCGUGCCAGCAGCCGCGGUAAUACGGAGAGGGCUAGCGUUAUUCGGAAUCAUUGGGCGUAAAGGGCGCGUAGGCGGAUUAGUAAGUUAAAAGUGAAAUCCCAAGGCUCAACCUUGGAAUUGCUUUUAAAACUGCUAGUCUAGAGAUUGAAAGAGGAUAGAGGAAUUCCUAGUGUAGAGGUGAAAUUCGUAAAUAUUAGGAGGAACACCAGUGGCGAAGGCGUCUAUCUGGUUCAAAUCUGACGCUGAGGCGCGAAGGCGUGGGGAGCAAACAGGAUUAGAUACCCUGGUAGUCCACGCUGUAAACGAUGAAUGUUAAAUAUGGGAAGUUUACUUUCUGUAUUACAGCUAACGCGUUAAACAUUCCGCCUGGGGACUACGGUCGCAAGAUUAAAACUCAAAGGAAUUGACGGGGACCCGCACAAGCGGUGGAGCAUGUGGUUUAAUUCGAUGCAACGCGAAAA